rnacentral:lncRNA from 1 species
CCUUAUAAGUAUUUUUUAAAAUCUUCAUUUGCACCUGGAAAAUAGAGCUCAGAGAAGUUAUCAGAGAAGAUAUAAUUAACUCCCCAAGCAUGAAACAACUUAAGAAGUGGAAGAGGCAAGGUACAGGGCUAGAAUGAUUAACUCUAAAAUUCUUAUUCCUUACACAAUGAUUCUAAAUCAUUUCUAACCUAGAGAAACCUCAGGAGGCCCAAAGUUUCUAUCUGUUCGAAGAAGAAUCUGGAAAUGGCUCUGGAUGCCCCAUCCAUAUCAAUUUUGCAGACCCGUCUGGAGCUCUGUUGCAGUGGAAGAAGCUGCAUAGGAGAAAGGAUGAAUGAGAGGGCUGAACACAAGAACACAGAAGGGACUGAAGCCUCCACUUUUCCCCACCUCUGCCUAUUGCCACAGUAUCUGGAUUAAAACUCUAUGCAUUGA